CUCUGCAGCUCAGGCUGACCUUGAGCUCACUCUGUAGCCCAGGCUGGCCUCGAACUCACAACAAUCCUCCUGCCUCAGCCUACCGAGUGCUGGGAUUACAGAAGUGCGCCACCAUGUCC
rnacentral:miRNA from 1 species